GCUGCCUCUACCCUUUGGCCUCCAGCCACCACUCCGGGGAACCUCCUUAAAUAUCACUUUGAUCCUGUCCCUCCCCUGCUCACAAGCCUUCAAGGGCUCCCUCUUCCUCCUGCAGCAGCAGCUAGACACCUCACUUCCUGGGAAGCCCUUCCUGAGCCCUUCCUGACCGUUUCUCCGCCUUACUUCUCCUCACACCCCACCUCAGCUCAGCCUGGAGGCCCAACACCCUCCUCAUUGUCUUACCUACCUCAGUGCUUCCUCCUCCCCUGCCACAAUAUUCUAGCACACUCUCCCAUUUCCCACUGCAUGAACUGGUCCAUUGCCAUGAAGUAUGUUUCACGGAAUAUACUUAUAAUAGGGAAACUCAUGAGCUAAUUCAAAUGGCCAAAAGGGGAGGCGCUAUGCGGACCCCGGAGAAACAGGAGGGAGAUCUUCCAAAGAUGGCUGUGAAGACCGUGGCAAGAUGGCUGAGACUUAGGAAAUAAUGUUAAGUAAAAAGCAAAACCGGACGCAAAACUGUAUUAUCUUGGUUCUGAACCUGUGACAACCGAAUGGCUGGGAUAGCAUUCCCCAUCACAGAAUCGGCGCACGGUACGUGUUGCCCGCUGUUAAACACCACGCUAAACGCAGUUAUGUCAGGAGGAUGGGUUGUGGAUCAUUUCUGUGCCUUGCUCCUCUCAUAAUGGGAAAAAGGCGUCGAUACAAGCAGUUUUGAUGGCAAUGACGGGGAGGUUUGGCUAUGACACCCGUCCAGGUGCCCGCCUUCCAGGUCACACCCACCUCGGAAGGAUCCAGGAUCCAGAACGCAGGGCUUUCAGACAGGACUCAUCUCGGGCACCCCACGGGACCCUGUUCGCCCACCUUGGGUCCUCUGGAACUGAAUGGGAGGAGCAGGCGGCCAGCCAGGGCGGCUCUGGGGGUGGGCGGAGCCCGGGGGGAGUGUAGGCGGCAUGGCCACCGGCACCCAUUUCACCACGUCCUCGGGGCAACCCCCCCACCGAGGGCCCCUGCCUGGCGGCAACAGCGACUCUGCAUUAGGUGGUGGCAGUGGCAGACUGCUCACACAGCUGUGCUAUCCCCAAGCCCUGUCUGUCUUGUUCUCAUGAGCAGCCCGUGAGGAGGGCUCCUGUUGCACAGAUGAGGGACAGUUAACGCCCCGCGUGGUCAGAGGGCGGCGGGCCAGGACUCAGCCCUGCCUUCCCGCCUCACGAUUUUCGCCUGCCCCGUCUGGAAGCUCUGGGUGUACUCACUGUGCGUCCUGUUCAUGCUGUCUCUCUCCGGCGGGAAUGGAAGCUCCACGAAGGCAGGCGUCCUUAUGCCUUAUUCACUGCCGCCAUCUCCAGUGCCUGGGACAGUGCCUGGCACCAAGUAGGUGCUCAGUAAAUAACUGAACGCCUGUGAACUAGGCAUCCUGUUCUCCUCAGCCCAGCCGCAGACCCCACCAGGAAGCCCAACCACCACGACGAGGCAAAGGGAUAAAAUAUUUUGAGGGCCAAGAGGCUGAAUCUGGGCCCAACUGACCCCUCCUCUAGGAAGCCCUCCCUGAUUUGCCUGCUGCGGAUGGUUAACGCUGGGCCUUCAUCCUGCUUCUCCAGAUCAGCUGCGAACGCCCCCCCCGGCCCUCAGCCCAGGGUCUGGCUUGGGCAGACCAGGCUUUCUAACCAGGGGCCUAGAGAGCCGUCAAGGGGGUCCGUGACUGACAGUCAAGAUUUUAAGGGAGGCUAAUGUUUAUUGUAUGUUUACCACAGAGGAGGAACCCCCGGCUAAUAAACUGUUCUAGUUUUGUCUGGAAA